CAGCUGGGUGACACUGGGCAGGUGGGUCUCUCGUUUCAAGCAGGUGGGCUGGAGAUGAGGGGAAUCUGUCGCCCUGUGGGGAGAUGAACAACGUGCUGGCUAUGCCUGGGCUGACCCAGAGUGUCCUUGGCAAACAGCAGCCAGGGAGCCGGUCGGGGGAGUCAUUCUGGUGAUGGGACCCUCGGAGGGCCUCGAAGGCAGCCAGCCGGCCUGCGGAACCCAGACCCCCUUCAGCUCCGAGACCCUGCCUUGAUGAGGGUCCCUUAGCCUGUGAGGGCCCGUCCUGGGUUCCGCACACGCCUUAUCUACUCAGGAUGGAGGCCACCCUGGGGCGUGUUCUAGCUCCCCUCAACUGGGUCCAAGUAAAAUCAUGGGGUCACUCCCUGUUCGUUUAUUUCUGGAAAUAAUACCCAUGAGGGGAUCUGCCUGGAGCUCCAGGUGCCUCAGCUGGGGUCGUGUUGGUGCCUGUGGGCUCCUGGCUGGGGCCUCACUUUGCUUCUGCUCCUUCGCUUCCCCCAGCAUUCUCUCCUGGGCAGAACCUGCUCGGAGGCAACCCGGGACGGCUUUGACCAUUGAUAUCAGAUGGACUUGACGCUGUGCCACACCUGAGCCCUGAGAACCUGGAGGGUCCCCCUCCUGCUCUGGGCUCUGAUGCCACCAAAGUCGUCUGAGCCCUGGAGAGGCCAUGUGGAGGGCAACCCGCUGAGCCUGGCCUUGUACCUGGCCAGCCAAGAUUCCGACCCACAGACUGCACACUGAAGUGAUUGGGCCAGUGUGUCACCUGUGGCAGACAGGUCAUCCAGGACACCUCGCCGCCCACGGCCGCUGCGAAAGCAGGACUCCUGUUGGACCAGGACUCGUAAAACGCAUGUGAAGUUUGAUGUUCCGUCAUCUCAGGUCCCCCGACCCCCCUCCUGCCCCUGCGGGGCCCCAGCCCAGCCCAGCUUCCCGGGCCUCCCCCCGCCUCCCCUGUCCACACAGCCACCGGCUUCAGCGGCUUCCGCUUCGUCCUGGGGACACAGCGGCUCUGGCCGUGCCCCCGCCUCCGAGGCUGCUCCCCCACCUGCCAGGGUGGUGAGCACCCCUCAGUCUACCAGAGGCCUUGCCAGAGGCUCGCUGCGUGGGUGAAGCCUUCUCGAGCAGGACAGCCCACGAGGCUGGAGGGCCCCGUGCUCCUACCGCCUGGCCCGGGGGGCCUAGAGUCCUGGGGUGCCCGGCGUGGGGGGGCAUCCGUGUGCCUGCCAGGACCCCGCACCGGCCCUCAGCUUCCCUGUGCCGCGGCUUCCUCCCCUGGAAUACGGGCUUCUGGCUAAGGCCGCUGCUGAGAAAAUCCAUGUCAAGAGCCUGGUCCU